rnacentral:misc_RNA from 1 species
AAGUCGUAACAAGGUUUCCGUAGGUGAACCUGCGGAAGGAUCAUUACUGAAAGACAAUAGGGUUUGAGACUGCGUCGUUGACGGCGUGUGCUCGACCCUUACUCUUUUAUCCACACCUCUGUGCACCAUGUGGGGACUUUUGGUCCCCUUUUCCACAUAAACACCGAGUAUAUGCAUGUAUAGUACACUCUACGGAGUUAAUGUACAACUUUCAACAACGGAUCUCUUGGCUUUC